GGCGAACGCUGGCGGCGUGCCUAAUACAUGCAAGUCGAGCGGACAGACGGGAGCUUGCUCCCUGAUGUUAGCGGCGGACGGGUGAGUAACACGUGGGUAACCUGCCUGUAAGACUGGGAUAACUCCGGGAAACCGGGGCUAAUACCGGAUGGUUGUCUGAACCGCAUGGUUCAGACAUAAAAGGUGGCUUCGGCUACCACUUACAGAUGGACCCGCGGCGCAUUAGCUAGUUGGUGAGGUAACGGCUCACCAAGGCAACGAUGCGUAGCCGACCUGAGAGGGUGAUCGGCCACACUGGGACUGAGACACGGCCCAGACUCCUACGGGAGGCAGCAGUAGGGAAUCUUACGCAAUGGACGAAAGUCUGACGGAGCAACGCCGCGGGAGUGAUGAAGGUUUUCGGAUCGUAAAGCUCUGUUGUUAGGGAAGAACAAGUGCCGUUCAAAUAGGGCGGCACCUUGACGGUACCUAAACAGAAAGCCACGGCUAACUACGUG
rnacentral:rRNA from 1 species